rnacentral:rRNA from 1 species
AUUGAACGCUGGCGGCAUGCCUUACACAUGCAAGUCGAACGGUAACAGGUUAAGCUGACGAGUGGCGAACGGGUGAGUAAUGUAUCGGAACGUGCCCAGUCGUGGGGGAUAACUGCUCGAAAGAGCAGCUAAUACCACAUACGACCUGAGGGUGACAGCGGUGGAUCGCAAGGCCUCGCGCGAUUGGAGCGGCCGAGAUCAGAUUAGGUAGUUGGUGAGGUAAAGGCUCACCAAGCCGACGAUCGGUAGCUGGUCUGUGAGGACGACCAGCCACACUGGGACGGGACCGCGGCCCAGACUACUACGGGAGGCAGCAGUGGGGAAUUUUGGACAAUGGGCGCAAGCCUGAUCCAGCCAUGCCGCGUGCGGGAAGAAGGCCUUCGGGUUGUAAACCGCUUUUGUCAGGGAAGAAAAGGUUCUGGCUAAUACCUGGGACUCAUGACGGUACCUGAAGAAUAAGCACCGGCUAACUACGUG